CCAGCGGCGUGAUGCGUUCUGAGACCCGCGAGCCUCCGGCAGCUCCGGUAGGACAGGGCAGGAGAAGGCGGCAGCUGCAAACAAGAGAAGAUCUUGUGUUUAUGGGUUACUGAAGAAGGACUCGAUCAAUGACAGCUCUCAGAGGUGCAGAACCACUGAAUGUUCCUCCUGAAGCCAGUGGGCAUGGAGAUUGGCUCCUGUCAUCUGUGUCAUCCUGUGUCACCUCCAGAGGAGGGUGGCCUGAGUAAUGCGAGCAGAGAUGGGACAAUUCCCACACCCCACCUGAGAACCACUGAACCUGGUUAACCUUGAGCAGUCUGGGAACUUACGAAUUUAAAAAGCUCCACGUGUGAUUCUGAUGAUCAGCCACGGUUGUGAAACCAUAGCCUUAGGUAACUCUGGUCAAUGGGUAAGAGAAAUUUAAAUGCCAUUGAGAGGAAGUGUGGCCUCUAAAUAUAAAAUUUUACGGUUGCUAGCAGGUGAAGACAUGUAAAUGAAGUCUAUGAGAAUGGAUUCAGAGACUGAACAUGCAAAGCUAUCCCUAGUGGAUUUUUUUUUUUUGAUAAUAUAAACACCAAAUUUCAGUUAAAAAUGAUAAUUGUCAUUAUAUUCACUUUGACGAUCAGGUUAAAAUUUAGCAUGGUUUCAAGUAGAUUCUCCCAACAAAUUUCUUCCUUGGUAACACCCUAGACCUUGUGACAUCAUAGUAUUGCACCACAAUAUUGCACAUAAAUGUACUAAUUUGAACAUCCUCUUCUCUGUCUAGAACCUCCUGUCUAUUCAGCUUUCUUAUUUAGUUACUCACUCUUGACCUUUGUUUGACUGCCUAGGACCUUCUGUUGCCCUUCCCUAUCCCUUAAUCCACCUGCUCAUUCUUUCUUCAGUCUAGAGAAUAGAAAGCACAAAUUCAGUAGCAUUCCUGCCCCUAGCAAAGGCCCCUUUACCUCUCUGCUUUCUCAUUAUAAGUGCUUAGAAAGCCACAAACCUGGAUCAGCCUUGUUUUCCUCUUUUUCUUCAUCUUUCUUUUCAACUAAAGGUUGCAAUGGCAGAUAAAUUCAAGGUAACCGAUUUCAAAUGGGUCUUCCACCUUGUACAGCAAACUUACAUUUUUUUCUUCUUAUUAAUUCACCUUCUCAGUGAUUACUUCAUAUCUUUUUUAUACUUCUCACCCUUCCAAGAACGUUGUCUCUUUCUUGCCUUUCCACCUCAUUCUUAGAAGAGGAGCUUAUUUAUUUCUCCACUGAGAAGCCAUCAGAGAUAUAUUCCUCCAAUUUCCUGCUACCAAUUCUUUCCUGCAAUACCUUCUUCCAUCGCGCAUAUUUGUUCCUUCUCUUCUGUCUCUACUCCUAUUUAAGAUCAAUCUUUUCACCUAGGUCUUGGAUUCUAUUCUUUCCUGAUUUUUCAUAAACAUUACGCUACUGAAUAAUUCUUCUCUCUUUUUUGCCUAUUAAAGUGCUUCCUGGCAUUGGAUCAUUCCUGGUGACAUUUGAACACAUAUAAAAAUGUUUCUAGAGUCCAUUUUUUUUACCUCUAUACUCAGACCCCCUUCUAGCUAACACCUCACUUUCCACCUUUCUCCUCACUUGCAGAGCCAACUGUUUUGAUCUCUUAAAAGAUGUGUAGAUGUAUGUGAUUACAGAUGCACGACCUAAAAAUCUGAGAUUCAUCUAUGAUACUGGACUCUUUUCACACUCCAAAAUUUAAUCCAUCUUUGAGAUUCAUCUUUUCUUUAUUUUCUUUGAUCCAUUUACACUUUCCAUAUCAUCUGUCAUAUUUUCUAUACUACCACCAUCUCUAACCUGAAAUAAUGUGCUUGUUGUUUAAUUAAUUUCCCUUCAAUUCCUGUGGCUCGCCAUUCCAAUCCAUUUUUUUUCAAUGUACUGCGUGAUCUCUUCAAAAUGUGAUGCUCUUUUUUUUUUCUUAUUAGCUGGAAUACAUUUCUUACUGUUACUGAGAUAAUAACAAAUUUUAAAGAACAUUGCCAUCUUUUACCAAUCCCUCAAAUUUUAAAAUCUCUAAACUAUAUCUAGACACUUGUGAUGGAGCCUGAGAACGUGAUGAAAAAGAUGUAGACAUGUAUG